ACAGUCAAAUUCGUGCCAAACACUUCCUCCUUAUAUACAUACACAGCUGGUUCACAAACGCCCCCAAUCGUUAACAUCUUCUAGGGUUUAGUCAAGAACCCUAGAUCCCUCAAUAAGCCUCUUAUAUCUAUCAAAUUUUUAGGGUUUUAAAUCCAAAGUUUCAAUCUCCUCCGCAAAUCUCGUGAUGGGUACAGAGCGGAAGCGAAAAGUGAGCUUGUUCGAUGUGGUUGAUGAUAGUGCAAUCUCCAAGCUCAACAAAACAAACGGCGCCGUUUCGAAUAGUGUCAAUUCGCUGAUUAAUCGGUGGAAUGGGAGGCCGUUUUCGCAGAGAUAUUAUGAUAUUCUGGAGAAGAGGAAGACUUUGCCUGUUUGGCAUCAGAAAGAUGAAUUCUUUAAGGCUUUGAAGGAGAAUCAGACGCUGAUUCUUGUUGGGGAGACUGGGAGUGGGAAGACUACGCAGAUUCCUCAAUUUGUUCUGGAAGCUGUUGAAUUGGAAAGCCAAGAUAAACGUAAGAAGUACAUAAUUGGUUGCACCCAGCCUCGUAGGGUUGCAGCAAUGUCGGUUUCUCGUAGAGUUGCUGAAGAGAUGGACGUAACUAUUGGAGAAGAAGUUGGUUAUAGCAUCCGUUUUGAAGAUUGCAGCAGUUCACGAACUGUUCUAAAGUACUUGACAGAUGGUAUGCUAUUAAGAGAAGCAAUGACAGAUCCACUUCUUGAAAGAUAUAAAGUGAUAAUUCUUGAUGAAGCUCAUGAAAGGACUUUGGCAACAGAUGUUCUAUUCGGACUUUUAAAGGAAGUAUUGAAAAAUAGACCUGAUCUGAAGCUAGUUGUGAUGAGUGCUACUCUUGAGGCGGAGAAGUUUCAGGGUUACUUCUUUGGGGCACCUUUGAUGAAGGUUCCAGGAAGACUACACCCAGUAGAGAUCUUCUAUACGCAGGAGCCUGAGAGGGACUACCUUGAAGCAGCAAUUCGUACAGUUAUUCAAAUACAUACAUGUGAACCUCCUGGUGAUAUACUAGUCUUUCUUACUGGGGAGGAGGAAAUUGAAGAUGCCUGUCGGAAGAUAACAAAGGAAAUCGGCAAUUUUGGAGAUACCGCUGGACCUGCAUUAGUUGUGCCUCUGUACUCCACACUUCCUCCAGCUAUGCAGCAGAAAAUAUUUGAUCCUGCUCCUCCUCCUUUGACACCAAAUGGUCCAGCUGGAAGGAAGAUUGUUGUCUCCACAAACAUUGCCGAAACGUCUUUGACUAUUGAUGGCAUAGUUUAUGUCAUAGAUCCUGGAUUUGCUAAGCAAAAAGUUUAUAACCCACGAGUGCGUGUUGAGUCUUUGCUGGUUUCACCAAUAUCGAAGGCAAGUGCCCACCAGAGGUCAGGUCGUGCAGGCAGAACACAACCAGGAAAGUGUUUUAGACUAUACACAGAGAAAAGCUUCCAAAAUGAUCUCCAGCCUCAGACAUACCCUGAGAUUCUAAGGUCAAACCUUGCAAAUACAGUUCUCACUUUAAAAAAAUUAGGUAUAGAUGAUCUGGUCCAUUUUGAUUUUAUGGACCCUCCUGCCCCAGAGACACUAAUGCGUGCAUUAGAGGUUCUGAAUUACUUGGGAGCCUUGGACGAUGAAGGAAAUUUGACCAGGCUGGGUGAAAUCAUGAGCGAAUUGCCCCUUGACCCACAAAUGGGGAAGAUGCUUGUUGUCAGCCCGGAGUUCAACUGUUCGAACGAGAUUUUGUCUAUAUCAGCUAUGCUUUCAGUUGCAGUUUCUCAGUUUUCUCUCUUGAAGCAAUGGUAUCGUCUCGCCUCUAUGCAUCUGCUGACCUACCGUGGGCCUCCUCUGUGAUAACAAAUUUUUUCUUUAGUACCCAAUUGCUUUGUACGGCCUAGAGAAGCUCAGAAAGCUGCAGAUGAAGCUAAAGCUCGGUUUGGCCACAUAGACGGGGAUCAUCUCACACUCUUGAAUGUGUACCAUGCUUACAAACAAAACAGUGACGACCAGUCAUGGUGUUACGAGAAUUUUGUCAACCACAGGGCACUCAAGUCUGCAGAUAAUGUGAGGCAGCAGCUAGCUCGCAUCAUGGCUAGGUUUAAUUUAAAACUCUGCAGCACUGACUUCAACAGCCGGGACUACUACAUCAACAUUAGAAAGGCCAUGUUAUCGGGAUAUUUCAUGCAGGUGGCUCACUUGGAACGUACUGGACACUAUUUAACUGUCAAAGAUAACCAGGUGGUUCAUCUACACCCAUCAAAUUGCCUGGAUCACAAACCAGAGUGGGUAAUUUAUAACGAGUAUGUCUUGACAACCAGGAAUUUUAUCCGCACAGUAACAGAUGUUCGUGGUGAAUGGUUGAUUGAUAUUGCACCACACUACUUUGAUCUUGCAAACUUUCCUCAAUGUGAAGCAAGGCGUGUUCUUGAAAAGUUGUACAAAAAGAGGGAGCGAGAGGCAGAUGCGAAAACCAAAAAGUAGAAACUAUCAUUGGCCUCAACUUUGUUAGAGCUGUUUGUUGGCUUUUAUUGGCUGCGUCGGUAAAAUGGUUACUAUUUUUCUGGAGCACUGGUUUUUUUCAGGACUAUGGGACCAACCAAUCAGCUCACUACAGCCCCUUAACUCCCUACAAAAAUGUGGUGAACAUGCAGACGUUGAGAUAUUCUAUUUAAGUUUAUUGUUGACAGUUACCAGCACUACAUGUAUUCUAUUUGUUUCGACAGCUCCUUUGGUAUCUAUUAUUAUCAGUGUUUCAUUUUCUUAAAUUCA